GCUGUAGCUCAAUGGUAGAGCCCCAGACUUUCAUGAAGGAGGUUCUGGGUUCAAUCCCCAGCAUCUCCA